CUUACCUGUGUGCACCCGGGAGGAAGACGGUGACGGUCGCACCUGUCCUCCAUUUUGGGGCAGAGCCGGCAAAAACGGCAUUGUGGCGCGACAAGCAAAGAGGUCGGAUCCACACCAAGUACUCCUGGGACUGUGCUAUAAUUGUGUACUGAAAAUCAGACUCUGAACGGACAGCCGGUUUUUCACCUGUAGAUGCCUGUAGAUGGCUGUAGAUGCCUGUAAAUGCCUGGCUCAAGAAAAGUGAAGAUAAAAUAAAAAAGGGAUAAAGAGC